rnacentral:miRNA from 1 species
GGACGCUUGCUAAAAAUGGAAAAUCUCAAACCCCAGUCCCAGAUCUACUGACUUGGAACUCUAGGGGUGGAGCCCAGGAAUCUGCAAUUUAAC